ACAUGUUGUAUAUAUGAACUUUUACUAAUUUACUAUUGCAUGUCUUAUCACACAAUUGAUAAUAAAAACACACAUUUAUUAUUAUUGCAUGUCUUAUCACACUAUUGAUAAUAAAAAUACACAUUUUUAUUUUCUGGGUGAAUAAAACACUCCCCUAAGUAUAUUUCUUGCACUCGUUGUUGUUCCUUCUGGCAUUAGUCGCCUCUACAACAAAAGAAUACAAAUAGAUGUUAGAACUCCAUAUUUUGGGUGUCAGAUAAUGAGGCUGGAACUUUAUAGAUAAAAAACAAAAGCAAAAUAUAAAGAAAAGGAUAACAUAAAAUCAUGGAUCACUACAAUUACUAUCCACACAUUUAACUAAUUAUUUACAAUUUUAUAAAAUAAAAUUGUAAUACGAAUGGUUAAAUUAAUUGUAUACUUUUUAGAUAUAUAGACAAUUUACAAGGCAUGUGAGAUUAUCUACAAAAUUUUGUAAUCAUUUUAUAAGUUGAUCAUAUACUCUAUGUAUACUAAUAAAGUAACAGUUUUUUACAUUGUUACUUCAUUCAUUUUCAAUCAUCAUUUAUCUUUGAGUAAAAAUAUUAUAAUGAACGGUAUAUGAUAUAUGGAGUCACAUUUCCAGUCCCAAAAUUUGUAUCACUUCAUUUACCCUUUGUUUCUCAUUGGCUAGACAAGGAAAACAUGAACAAAAUAUAUAUUAACUUUACAUUUGUUCAACAAGAAGAAAUAAGGGGCACAUGAAUUGAUACACAUUCAGUAUAAAAGAUAUACUUUCAUAAUAUAUUAAUUAUGUAUAAUUUUUUAUACUAUCAAUAAAUAGAUAUUUCAAUCAUAAAAAAAAAUAAUGCAAACAUACCUUGUAAGGUGAAAUAUAUGCAUCCUUCCUGGCACCUUGUUAGGCAGGGAGUCGGUCGCAGAUAGCAACGCAGAACGCAUCUAACCUUACAAAUGCUUUGCCUGAUAUCUAUGGCGGAAUAGGCUUGUGCAAUUAACACAGAUACAAUCAACAAUUGCAUUACCAUCAUAUUCAUCUUCAUCUUCUCAAAUAGC
rnacentral:lncRNA from 1 species